UGAGCAGCCAGCGACCCUGCAGAGCCGAGAAUGGGAGUAGAGCAGAGUGUCUGAGCAGCACACCCAUCUCCUCUCCGCUCUUCGCCUCGCUCUCGUGGCCUGUUCACCCAUCCA
ensembl:miRNA Mir8114 microRNA 8114